AAAUCGUGUCCUUCCUCCCUUUUCUGUGGCAGGGGGACUUUAAAGCUCCUAUUUGAAGCUCCUCUGUCAGUAUUGGCAUGGCUAGAUCCUCCAGAGUACUCACAGCUGGGCUGCCUUUUAACAGUCUUUCCUUCUAAAAGGCAGAAAUGAUGAGUUCAGCAACAUUAGUCUAAGCUGAUAAAAUUCACGGGCAAAAAUGGCAGUCCAAAAUGAUCCUUCAGAGCAGCAGCUGAGCUAUAAUUUAGGAUAUAAAGCCUGGUGGCUUGGCUGCAUGAGAUUUCUGACUGUUGUGGCUUUGGCCUGCUCUUCCAGCCACAAGCCAGCACUGCUGCUUAAGCUGGAACACUGAGCUUUAAGGAAGAGGAGCACUUCAGCAUCAGCAGCAUACACAUGGGCAGAAUUAAAUGACAUGAAGCCACUCCUAUAAGUCAGGCUCCAGAGAGACAGAAGCCCUUCCAAGAACAGCUGUGCCUUCAUUGCAGAAACAUCUAUCAAAUAACAUCACGGACUCAGCCUUUUUUCUUUUUGAUUUAAUAGGAAUGAACUCACUGCAAUACUAGACUGUCACAGGUUCAUCAGCUAUCCUGGACCCUGACUAAGUGUUCAUUUCUCUGUCUGAUGAAGUGUUUCUGUCUGAUGAAAAAUAACAACAGGAGGCCACCGUUUUGAGACAAUGUUUUGUUGCACUUAAUCUGUCUCAUCAACAUUCAGAUUCAAACGCCAAGAAGACUUAGUCAUCUGAUGAAACUGUGUAGGUACUUUGUGAAUAAAAGAGUAUCUAUAUGUGUUUAAAUAUUUAUUGCAUCUGGGCCAAAGAGUAGAUCUAUUUGGUUCAAUUUUAUUUUAAAUGAAAGAGGAGAAUUGAGGGAGUGAUCGGGCAUGACACUUAUGUAGAAUUGUGUGGAUGAUUUUUUUCUGAUUUGGUAAUCAGGAAAAGAACAAUUCCUGAAGAUCCAGCCUGCAAAUAAACUUCUAAUUUUUCACUCCGAAAAAGGAAAGGUAAACUUUCUCCCGAGCAUUUUUGUUUCAUUUUUUAACCUUUCAAAAUUAGGUAAAUUUAUUGUUAAAAUGUCACUUCAAGAGAGACAAAUAGUAAUACGAAUUUACAAAUCAUUUUUCAUAACCCAUAUCAGCUUUGUUAAUGAAAAAAAAAAA